GUCAAUAUGUUUGAGAUAUCCACACCUUGAGUUUGAGAGAGUGUGCACGCACCGUCGUAUAUGGCUCGCUCGUCCACCUGCGUUUUCUGCCAUUCGAUAAACACCAUGAUGUGCAGUGAGUGCGCACGAUUCACGAUUUCCUCUCACCACGCACGGGACUCAGUGUAUCUCUGGUGGGUAGAGUGUCCGUCUGUUGGUCUGUAGUCUGUGUCACCGGGUGCCGGCGUGCUCCGCCCUGUGUGUGACCCGUGGCACUGCUGUGUUCCCCGAGAGAGUCUGCCGAGGCGGAGCUGUCACCCGAGAACCCCUUCUAUGAGGAGCCCGCGCCGGCCGCCAGCAUGCCAGCUCCUGGAAAUCCAUUCGAGGAUGAAGACGACAGCGGCGCGGGCGACUCUGGCCACGCUUCGCCGGCGCCCCCGCUCCCGACCAAGGGGACCCCGCCGCCCCCG